AUGUGGACCCGUCUUCGUCAGCGCUAUCAGCCCUCUGGUGAUGCCUUAUACCUUUCUGUGGUCCGUCAGGAGCAUGCUCUUCAGCAGGAUGACUCUACUGUUGAUGACUUCUAUGCACAGAGUUCUGCUAUCUGGCGCCAGCUUGAUUCUCUCCGCAGUGCUAGUUGUCGUACCUGCCCCUGUUGCCAGGCUGUCCAGGCCAAUUUGGAGUUUCAUCGCGUCUAUGAGUUCCUGUCUCGGCUCCGUAAGGAGUUUGAGCCCCGGCGUGCUCAGUUGUUUGCUCGUGGCCGUAUUUCUCUCAUGGAGGCGCUUUCUGAGAUUCGUGCUGAGGAGACUCGCUUACGUGGUGCUGGUUUGCUGGAGGUUCCCUCUGUGCUCGCUACUCGUGCUCCUACGCCACCUGCUGCACCGAUCCCCUCUCGCUCGAGUGCUCCGCCGCUCUUGCCCACUCCUUCCGGAAGCUCAGGUCGCCCCCGUCCACAUUGCGACUAUUGCAACAAUGAUGGUCAUCUUGAGUCUCAGUGCUACACGAAGAAGAAACACCUGCGCAAGGCGCGAUCAUCAUCUUCAGGGACUUUGUCAUCUACCUCGACAGCUUCAGCCAUUGCUUUGACUGACCAGGAUAUUCUGAGACUUAAGCGUCUGCUCGCAGCUUCAGGUUCUUCCUCGACGGGUACUGCUGGUUCUAUGACUGAUGCUUCCCGCACUGAGCAAUCACCCUCUACACAGUCAGGUACAUCCCCAUGGGUUCUGGACUCUUGA
rnacentral:rRNA from 1 species